rnacentral:lncRNA from 1 species
UUUGGUUACAUGCUAACAAACCUACAAUAAAAAUCAGGAAGAAUACUUAUAGCCUAUGUUACUGGACUAUUUUCUACGUAAGAAUUAGAUAAACUCUAAAAUCUCACUAAGUUCACUAUCACUAACACUGAUGCAGGAUUUUUCUUCUUGGUCAUUUUGCAAGCCGGGGACCCCCGGCCAGUGACACUCCACCCGGGCCUCGCUCGGCCACGCUGGCAUGCCCCAGCUCACCUAUGUUAUAGCUUGUACCUGCAUUCGGUGGUUCCCGAGCUCUGGUACUGCACCCAAGAAGAAUAAGGAUACGCUGGGCAUUGAAGUGGUAAGGAGGGCGAAGAAGAGUUUUAUUGAGCAAUGAAAACGGCUUUCAGCGGAGAAGGGAUGCAUGGAACCAAGGGCGGGUAAUAUCAGAAGAAAAUCGUGCGAUGAAAAUGAAGAUCAGAAGCGCAUACUGAACAAGCAACUGACUUUGUUAAUCUCUUGAAAAAUAGCAUCAAGGGGGAUGUUUUUAAAUUAAAGAAGAAUGAUUUUGC